rnacentral:rRNA from 1 species
GACGAACGCUGGCGGCGUGCCUAACACAUGCAAGUCGAACGGAACUGUUUUGAAAGCUUUCUUCGGAAUGAAUUUGAUUUAGUUUAGUGGCGGACGGGUGAGUAACGCGUGAGUAACCUGCCUUCAAGAGGGGAAUAACAUUCUGAAAAGAAUGCUAAUACCGCAUGACAUAUCGGAACCACAUGGUUUUGAUAUCAAAGAUUUUAUCGCUUGAAGAUGGACUCGCGUCCGAUUAGUUAGUUGGUGAGGUAACGGCUCACCAAGACCGCGAUCGGUAGCCGGACUGGGAGGUUGAACGGCCACAUUGGGACUGAGACACGGCCCAGACUCCUACGGGAGGCAGCAGUGGGGGAUAUUGCGCAAUGGGGGCAACCCUGACGCAGCAACGCCGCGUGAAGGAUGAAGGUUUUCGGAUUGUAAACUUCUUUUAUUAAGGACGAAAAAUGACGGUACUUAAUGAAUAAGCUCCGGCUAACUACGUG